rnacentral:lncRNA from 10 species
AUAGGUUACAUUAGUUAUACACUCUGGAGGUGACUUGACCUGUCAUUGUGAACAAUUAUUGCUCUUGGACGACCCAGGACAUAGGCCAGCCAGUACGUACCCCAGUGUGUUGGAGAAUCGCGCUCGGCUUCUUCCUCUGUGCUGAGUCAUGAAAGUUGCCGGAGCAGGUGCAGUUACACAACCUCCAGGUAUGAUCCUGUUUAAGGACUGGAUUUAGGAUAACUACUUAGAGGUUAAAAGUCACAAGGGUGUAUGGAUGAGGCUGGAGUGAUCUGGGACCAAAGACAUCUAGGCUUGCUGUCAAGGCUUCUGAUCAACAUGAGAUGACCGCCGUGUGGUAAACUGAUGAACCCUGACCCUGAUCAACAUGAGAUGACCGCCGUGUGGUAAACUGAUGAACCCCGACCCUGAUGAACGUGAGAUGACCGCCGUGUGGUAAACUGAUGAACCCCGACCCUGAUGAACGUGAGAUGACCGCCGUGUGGUAAACUGAUGAACCCCGACCCUGAUGAACGUGAGAUGACCGCCGUGUGGUAAACUGAUGAACCCCGACCCUGAUGAACGUGAGAUGACCGCCGUGUGGUAAACUGAUGAACCCCGACCCUGAUCAACGUGAGAUGACCGCCGUGUGGUAAACUGAUGAACCCCGACCCUGAUGAACAUGAGAUGACCGCCGUGUGGUAAACUGAUGAACCCCGACCCUGAUCAACAUGAGAUGACCGCCGUGUGGUAAACUGAUGAACCCCGACCCUGAUCAACAUGAGAUGACUGCCGUGUGGUAAACUGAUGAACCCUGACCCAUUAGGCUUUGGCUACAGAAUGUGGAAAUAAGUUGUGUUACUACAUGUGUGUAAUCCUAGGGUGCAGGACACCGGCCGGGAGGUUCCAUAGAGUGAUGGGUUCUGCAGGUAACUCAUCCUCUAGUCCUCUGUAAGCUCCUAGAAGGAAGAAAUUAUGUCCUUUAGACUAAUAAAAUUCCUCCAAACCAAAUACAGCACCUACUGUGAAGACACAAAGAUACUUUUAGAAUAGUAAAAACUUUAUCCAUUGAGAAAUUCCUUAAUGAAACAGUAUCCAAGAAGUCAUUUGCCAGCAGAUUUCUUAGAGGUGCGAUAAAGAAGAGGACAUUGCCAGUCGUCACAGCAGCUGCAAUAGCUCCUCUCUAUUGUUAAACAGUGGGAUAUCUUGUGCAGGUUUUCAGUUGACAAUCAAUUUUAAAGAUUAGUUUCGGUCCCCAUCAAUCAAUUAUUUAUUAACCCAUCAAUAAAAAUUUAAAUGCUCUGUGAGGUACAAUAGCUAUUAAAAGAGACAGAGGCACUUUCUGUGUCCAGAGGGGCUUUUAGUCUGCUCUGGAAAGCAAGAUGCGUGCAGAUGAGUGACGCAGUGCAUCGUGUGGAUGCAAAGGGAGGGACUCACAUGGGAACCAGAGGAGCUACGAAGGGAGGCAGUGGGGACUGGUGGGUCGAGACCUGGAAAUAACACAUGAAUAGGCAACAAAGGUUUCCUUUCCUCUUCCAUGCACUUCAGUCCUUGAAAAACGUCUUACCACGGAAUUCCACAGCGUACCAAGCGAUUCCACAGCUUGAUGGCACACUCUCCUUUCUCAGCAUUCUUGAAAAUGGCGUGUGAGCCAAGCCAUCUUACUGAGAAAUUACCUUAAACCAUUUGAUGAACCAAAAAUAUUUUGUAAUACCCAUCUCCGACAUUAGGUAGGCAAAUCACACAGAAACACCGAGGUCUUCUGAGUCAUAUUUAUCUGAAAAAUCACAGCUUGGGUGCAUGUGAAGCCAGAGGAGCACUCCUGGGGCCUGCGGUGCCAUCACUCAGCUCCCCUGGGCUUCACAUGGCCAUGGAGCACCCAGCAAGUGUAGGCUCUGAGCCUUCAGGGAGGGGCGGCAUCAGCCAGCACCAUCGUCUCCUGGGUCUUGUGCCUCUUCCUUGGUUGCGGUGUUGUCAGGGCCAGAAUUGGGCAAUUCCGGGUGACAUCCAGGUGUGGCUGCUGACACGGAGCACAGGUGAGGUUCACUGAGGUAAGUGGGCCAUGGCCUUGGGCUUCUAGUUCAGAGCACACCAUCCACUCAGCAUGUGAACCCAGCUCCAAAGCGUAUGUGUGCAUGUGUGUACCUGUGCACAUUGCGCAUGUCUCUGUGUAUGCAUGUGCUUUGAUGCAUGUUGAUGUACGGGUGUAUCUGUG